rnacentral:rRNA from 1 species
AGUGAACGCUGGCGGUAGACCUAACACAUGCAAGUCGAACGGCAGCACAGUAAGAGCUUGCUCUUACGGGUGGCGAGUGGCGGACGGGUGAGGAAUACAUCGGAAUCUACUUUUUCGUGGGGGAUAACGUAGGGAAACUUACGCUAAUACCGCAUACGACCUACGGGUGAAAGCAGGGGAUCUUCGGACCUUGCGCGAUUGAAUGAGCCGAUGUCGGAUUAGCUAGUUGGCGGGGUAAAGGCCCACCAAGGCGACGAUCCGUAGCUGGUCUGAGAGGAUGAUCAGCCACCCUGGACCUGAGACCCGGUCCAGACUCCUACGGGAGGCAGCAGUGGGGAAUAUUGGACAAUGGGCGCAAGCCUGAUCCAGCCAUACCGCGUGGGUGAAGAAGGCCUUCGGGUUGUAAAGCCCUUUUGUUGGGAAGAAAAGCAGCAGGUUAAUACCCCGCUGUUCUGACGGUACCCAAAGAAUAAGCACCGGCUAACUUCGUG